AUUUAAGUUUUAAACUAACCCUCCACAUUAGAGGAUUUUUUACACCUUUAUGGAAAGUUAAAUUUUCUUUAUUCAAUAAAAUUUUUAUGCCAGUGUACUGUCUGAAGCGCCUUUUAAAAAAAAAGCACUAAAUCUAGAGCUAAAUUGGCAACACUAGAAAUUUGUUUCGUGAAGUUAAAUUUACUUGGGACAUUUUUUCCAAGGGAAAUUUAUUAAAUUUCUGUUUUCCAUAAAACUACUUGAAAAUUCUUGGCAACAUAAACAAAACAGAAUUACAAUGCCGCGUGGAAAGAGGUUGCAUUUUUUAAUAUAAAGAUUCAUUGUUUAAAGUGGUAAUAAAAAAUUUUAACAUGUGAGAAAUAGAAUUGAAGACUUGGAAAGUCUGCAAGUGAAAAUGUGUAAGCAUCAUGGAACCGGAGCCUCUAGUAGAGCAGAUACAAUAAUGCGGUAAAGCUGAUUGGCGUUCAGCGAAAGCAAAAUGCGAUAUACAAGGACAGAAAAGUGCACAUCCUAAUGGAUGGUCGUGCAUUACUUUUCUAAACAGAAUGACGAUGCCAUCUUAAAAACUUAUAUAAUGAAAUAUUGUAUACUGUAUAAAUAUUGAAAAAUAAUAUAAAUUAUUAAUUAGUA